UUUACUUGCAAGUUGGUAGGCAAGAGUGAUAGUGGAGACAAGCCACUGUGACAAGGUAGAAGAUGACGCUGGACAACCCUUGUGUGGUCCAAAGAAGCACAGGAAAAGUCUUCAGCUUUCCGAAAGUCCUUUGUCCUGGAAAUAUAGUAUGCUAACGCCCUUCUAACAUCCAGAGAAUGGAGCAUCUUUUCAACGUCCGAGGAAGGAUCAGAAAACAAGGUGGACGAUGGACUCCAGGGUGACCAUCCGGAAUCGGCGUGGCUGAAGGAUGGAGCAGUAGAAGAUUGUUGAGAAGACCUGCCCUGAGAGCUCCUGAAAGGCCGG